UACAGAGGCCUCGAGCGUUAGGCGGAAUUACUGGGCGUAAAGCGCGCGCAGGUGGUCUUUCAAGUCAGUGGCGAAAGCCUGGAGCUCAACUCCAGAACUGCCAUUGAAACUGCAAGACUUGAGUACGAGAGAGGUGAGUGGAAUUCCCAGUGUAGAGGUGAAAUUCGUAGAUAUUGGGAAGAACACCGGUGGCGAAGGCGGCUCACUGGCUCGUAACUGACGCUCAGGCGCGACAGCGUGGGGAUCAAACAGG
rnacentral:rRNA from 1 species